GACGAACGCUGGCGGCGUGCUUAACACAUGCAAGUCUACGAGAAUAAGGUAGCAAUAUCUUUAGUAAAGUGGCGCACGGGUGAGUAACACGUAAGUAACCUACCUUUAGAUUUGGAAUAACCCCGAGAAAUCGGGGCUAAUACCGAAUGAUGCAGCGGCACCACAUGGUGAUGUUGUUAAAGUCUAUAUGACGUCUAAAGAUGGGCUUGCGUCUGAUUAGCUAGUUGGUGAGGUAACGGCCCACCAAGGCUACGAUCAGUAGCUGGUCUGAGAGGAUGAUCAGCCACACUGGAACUGAGACACGGUCCAGACUCCUACGGGAGGCAG
rnacentral:rRNA from 1 species